rnacentral:misc_RNA from 1 species
GAUGAAGAACGCAGCGAAAUGCGAUACGUAAUGUGAAUUGCAAAUUCAGUGAAUCAUCGAGUCUUUGAACGCACAUUGCGCCCCCUGGUAUUCCGGGGGGCAUGCCUGUCCGAGCGUCAUUGCUGCCCUCAAGCACGGCUUGUGUGUUGGGCCCCGUCCUCCGAUCCCGGGGGACGGGCCCGAAAGGCAGCGGCGGCACCGCGUCCGGUCCUCGAGCGUAUGGGGCUUUGUCACCUGCUCUGUAGGCCCGGCCGGCGCUUGCCGAUCAACCCAAAUUUUUAUCCAGGUUGACCUCGGAUCAGGUAGGGAUACCCGCUGAACUUAAGCAUAUCAAUAAGCGGAGGA